rnacentral:lncRNA from 1 species
UACUACUGUAUUGAUUAACACGACACCCUUGAUGGGUACUACUAUUGAUUAGCACGACAUCCUUGAUGAAUGAUAUAUCGAGAAAAAAACCUCACCCUAUUGAGAAAGACAAUACUCUUAAUGGAUACUACUAUUGAGAACUACGACACCCUUGAUGGGUGCUGGAUCGCCAACAAAUUAAUUCAAUAUAGAAUUAUUAAUGUAUAAAGUUGUCAAACCAGCAAGAGAUUAUUAUUGUAAAGAAGACAAAGAAAGUUAAAGAUGAUACUUAUAUUUUUCCAAGGAACCUCUCCGCACGAUUCUAAAUCAAUACACAAUCUUACCAAGCACCAGAUGGGAAAGGAAUGAAAAUCCCGCUGUUUGGAUGUGCAAAGUAAAUCGAGAUAAUUUGUUUCUCAAUGCCAACGUUUGUGGGUGUCUGUAUAAUGUACGAUUCCGAAAAUAAUGUAUUCGGAAUGAGCACUGGCGUGCUCUCGGUUCGAUAGAAGGUGACUUAAAAAAACUAAACAUGUAUAGAUUAAAAGGCAAAAAAUUCUCAAGGGUAAAAUAGAUCAAUAAGGUGAAAUUCUAAGAGCGGAACGGUGAAAUCGAAAUGAAAAGCUGAUUGCCAAUCGUUUUGUUCGACUGACGAUGCGUGGAUAUCGACCCGUGGGUAGGCCUAUAUUAAACAGCAAAUGUAUCGUUCGCUAACGAUUACGAGUUCGUGUUGAGUUCGAGUGCGAACAAAGUUACGGUCAAUCAUUAAAUUUUGUCAAGCAUUUGUAAAUUAUUUGUGUGUAUAGAAGAAAAGAAGACAAUGGACCUGCGGGUACUGAUUAAAACAACAAAUGAAUCGUUCGUUAACGAUUUGAGAGUUCGUGUUGAGUUCGAGCGCUAACAAAGUUAGUGUCAAUCAUUAAAUUUUGUCAAGCAUGUGUAAAUCAUUUGUGUGUAGGAAGAAAAUAAGACGAUAAACCUACGAGUAUAUGGGUUAAAAUAACAAAUGUAUCGUUCGUUCACGAUUUGAGAGUUCGUGUUGAGUUCGAGCGCUAACGAAGUUAGUGUCAAUCUUACAUUUUGUCAAGCAUGUGUAAAUCAUUUGUGUGUAGGAAGAAAAUAAGACGAUGGACCUACGAGUAUAUGGGUUAAAAUAACAAAUGUAUCGUUCGUUCACGAUGUGAGAGUUCGCGUUUAGUUCGAGUGCGAACAAAGUUAGUGUCAAUCAUUAAACGUUGUCAAUCAUCAAUUUUUGUCGAUUUGUGUAUAUAGAAGAAAAUAAGACGAUGGACCUGCGCGUAUGGAUUAAAACAACAAAUGUAUCGUUCGUUCACGAUUUGAGAGUUCGUGUUGAGUUCGAGUGCGAACAAAGUUAGUGCCAAUCAUCAAAUGUUGUCAAGCAUAUGUAAAUCAUUUGUCCGAUUUGUGUAAAGUAUAAGACGAUGGACCUGCGAGUAUAUGGGUUGAAACAACAAAUGUAUCGAUCGUUCACGAUUUGAGAGUUCGUGUUGAGUUCGAGCGCUAACAAAGUUAGUGUCAAUCGUUAAAUUUUGUCAUUAAUCUUGCACACUUAAUUUCUCCUUCUUGACACUUAAAUACCGUGAUUGUGAGAUAGUAGGGUUAUGUUUGUAGUAGGGUCUUGUUUGUUGUAACAAUUUGUGUUAUAUAUUGUGUACGAAUAAAACUUCGCGUCUAUCGUGCAUUUUCUCGUCAUUCUACAUUGAUACUCAUUGUGAAAAAACCCAGGGCCAUGUGAACGAAACUUUCAUCGCCAUUUUGUAGAGAUUACUGCUAAACCCCAGUUUCUUGUGUUAUCUUCUGUACUCAUGUGACAAAUCACUUACAUGAUUUCAGGGCCAUGUGAACAUGUCUAACUCUGUUUUUGUAAAAAUUCUCUCCAAUUUAUUAUGCAAAAUUAUUUGAGGGCCAUGUGGUGGAGUGUAGAGAUCUUCCAUUACUCCCUUCUGUGGGAAUUUUCUCCAAAAGCCAGACGUGUAUUUUCUUGAAAAAUGCUUGUGCAUUCAUCCCAUCUUGAGUGUGAAUCGUGUGAAAAGUACUAUAGGGCCAUGUGUUAAGUAUCCAUCAUAGCGAUUUUGAAGCUCUAAUGUUGGAUUUAAGUUUUCUUGCAUACUCCGUGUCUUCCUCAGUUGUAACUUCACUGUGGUUCAUGGAGUUAAAUACUCUAGGGCCAUGUUUACAAAUCUACUUUAUUUGUCUGUGUGGCAAAACAUUUUCUCAACUGCUACGCCACGCCCAUCCAUCUUAACUAAAACUUGGAGAUUUUUUUAGGGUCAUGUGCAGAUCUUACUGAUUCCUUGAAACAUAACGGUUGUGAAAUGUAAUCAGAAACAUGCGUGGUUUCAACGAUUCCACGAUUAUUUUGCGACAUGAAAUAGUCUCUGAUCCUUGUCGAAACGAGUCUUAUGGACAAAGAUUAUUGUUUGUGAUUUUUUCUUCUAUAAUAUUCGAUUCGCAAAGAUCGAUAAUUGCCUUUUGUGUUAGGCCCAUUGUGUCAAUUUCUUUUGUAAAUCAGGUGUAAUGACACCUGUCACGUCGGAUACACUUUGUAAUCGCUAUAUAAAGUGUAUAGCCUGAAUUUACAGGAUAAAACAAUAUUUGCAUCAAUUGAUUUUUUAACAACCACAACGCCAGUGGUGGUUUGAUUGAUGGUAUACUCGUCAAUUCUGAUAAGUCCGAUCACAGCUGAUCGGUGAUGUGAAUGUCGUUUCCCUUUGAACCGAGGCGCGGUGCUUGGUGCAAACUGGAAUCAUCUCCGCGACCAGUAGGUCAAAUUUGCUAUUUUAGAUUAAACUAGGCUUUCUUUCUCAUCUCAACGGUUUAAUCCAUUACAGUGGUCAGGUAAGGGCCACUAAUUGGAGUAUCUUCACCAAAUUACCUAUUUAGAAUAAAGUAAGCUAGCUUUCUUUCUCAUCUUAACGGUUUGAUCCAUUACAGUGGUCAGGUAAGGGCCACUAAAUGGAUUAUCUUCACCAAUUUACCUAUGUAGAAUAAAGUAAGUUUUCUUUCUCAUCUCAACGGUUAAAUCCAUUACAGUGGUCAGGUAAGGGCCACUAAAUGAAUUAUCUUCACCAAAUUACCUAUGUAGAAUAAAGUAAGUUUUCUUUCUCAUCUCAACGGUUUGAUCCAUUACAGUGGUCAGGUAAGGGUCACUAUAUAGUUGGAUUAUCUUCACCAAAUUACCUAUGUAGAAUAAAGUAAGCUUUCUUUAUCAUCUCAACGGUUUGAUCCAUUACAGUGGUCAGGUAAGGGCCACUAUAAUUGGAUUAUCUUCACUGUCUGCAGAUACUUUGCACCAAGUUAGGCCUAGAGAUUUAAGUAGCGUCGACAUAAACUAAGUUUCCCUUUUUGUGAUUGUUACUUUAUAAUGGUCAGGUCCAUUAAUAUACAUUUUCCUUCUCUUUAUACCACAGCACCGGUCACAAAUUUGAUCAGGAAACCACUGUACAUUUUGUAGUAACAUAACCUAGCUCCGCUAGGAAGAUUUCUUUUAUUUUCAGCAACUUGCAAUUAGAUUAGGAAGACCAACCAGUAAGCAAGCCAGAGUGCUCAUGUCAGGAGCUGAUGACACGGAUGAACCGGAAGCAGGGAGGAGGAACACCAGAUGACUGAUGGCCCUGCUUGCCGGGCAUCCCAUUACUGAUUUUCCAGAGAUGACGGUCUGCUUGAAGAUGAGAUGUCAUUCUGGACGAAGAUACGAUCACUUCUGAGUCCCAAGGAACCGGAAGCAGGGAGGAGGACCGACGGAAGGACUGAAGACCCUGCUUGCAGAGCAAGUCUUCACCAAUUCUCGAGAUUUCUCUUGCUUCUUGUAAGCAACAGAGACGAUGACAAUUACCGAGUGCAGUUGUUCGCAAGGAUAGGAAGUUAGGAACACGAAUUUCAGAAACACUCGACUGAGGUUUCAAUAGCUAGCUCCUGAAAGUUCCCAUACAUUUCUC